rnacentral:lncRNA from 1 species
GAACUUUGCACAGUUCCAAAACAUGAGACGCACGUCAGUCACAAGUUCCUCGGGUGCAGAAUAGUGGAACUUAUCCUUUUUUUGCAGCUUUUUUCGUAUGAUUGACAAAUCCAUCGGCCUUUUGAUGAUCUGAUAAUAAUGUCGAGCCAGGGGGCUGACGGGUUCAUGGAACGGGAGGCUCAUACUACUGCAGAACAGGGAAAGCACCAGCUUUUCACACUUCUUCUGAUCAUAGUCAUCAAGGCCAUAUUGUGCAUUAUAACUAUGAGCAUAGCGCGUGUUUUCACAGUCGUAUUCUACCUCUGGUUUCAUUGGGUUACGGCACAGCGUACACACCCAUUCCCCC